GAUGUUGUGUGACGACGAGAGAGAGCACGCUUGUCAUCACCCAUGAAAGGAUCAUGGUUGUUUACGGGCGUGCUCUUUCUUGUUGUCAUAAAGUC
ncrna:Malus domestica miR535d stem-loop (mdm-MIR535d)